rnacentral:lncRNA from 1 species
AUUUUUUUUGGAAAUUGGGCCAUUUGGUUAGGCUGGAGUGCACUGGCAAUAUCUUGGCUCACUGCAACCUUUAUCUCCUGGGUUCAAGUGCUUCUCCUGUUUGAGCCUCCCAAGUAGCUGGGAUUAUGGGCAUGCGCCAUCACAUCCACCUAAUUUUUGUAUUUUUAGUAGAGAUGGGGUUUCACCAUGUUGGCCAGGCCAAUCUUGAACUCCUGACCCCAAGUGAUCCACCCACCUUGUCUUCUGAAAGUGCUAGGAUUACAUGCAUGAGCCACCAUACCUGGCCAGGAACCAUCUUUGAAAUUAGAUUUUUUUUUUUCCCUUUUGAGAUGGAGUCUCGCUGUAUUGCCGAGGCUGCAGUUCAGCGGCAUGAUCUUGGCUCACUGCAUCCUCCACCUCCCCAGUUCAACAAUUCUCCUGCCUCAGCCUCCUGAGUAGCUGGGAUUACAGGCGCUCACCACCACACCCAGCUAAUUUUUGUAUUUUUUGUAGAGAUGGGUUUCACCAUGUUCGUCAGGCUGGUCUCGAGCUCCUGACCUCGACGUACACUCUUUGUGGACACCAGGAUGCAAACUCUCUGUGGAGUCAGCAAGCAAAACGAGAGCAGAACACAACAGCAGAAGACCCAGAGACAGAACAUGCAUCCAGGGUGUGAGGAGGGGAGCUCAGUUCAAACUUCACAUUGUCCAGAGAGACAGCAAAUUAGAGGAGGAGGAAGGUGAUCAGCAGGAGAGACAUCUGCAGGGAAAAAAAUGUAACCCAGAGAUAAUUUAAAGUUUUAUAAACAAAUGAAAAAUAUUUUAGGGCAAGUGUAAGUUACGAGGAGGUAUUUCAGCAAGACUUAGCAUUAGACAUAAAAUCAAUCUACUAUGGACUGCAAUAAUUAUUAAAGAAAUUUGUAUUAACUAGUUGAUAAAAUCAAUGUAUACUGCUUGGAUCUGUAGUUUUGCAGCGUUUACUGACUACAGUUUAGGUAAAAUUACGCUAUUAGUAUUCCAAAUUACUAGAGGGAUGGGGAAGGGAAGUUGACAGAAAAGUGGUUCUCAAGUGUAUGUUAGUAUUGAAGAGUAAUUUGUAGAGCUUAUAUGGUUUAGGUUCAAAUGGAGAAAGAAUGAUUUAAAAACUGAGAAGGGGAGAAGAACUAGGCUGUAUAAAAAACUGCAGCCAGGCACGGUGGCUCAGGCCUGUAAUCCCAGCACUUUGGGAGGCUGAGGCGGGUGGAUCACCUGAAGUCAGGAGUCCAAGACCAGCCUGGUCAGCAUGGUGAAACCCCGUCUCUACUAAAAAUACAAAAAUUAGCUGGGUGUGGUGGUGCAUGCCUGUAAUCCCAGC